rnacentral:pre_miRNA from 1 species
GGGGAGAGGCCAGAUCCUGGGCUGUGUCCCGGGCGCCCUGUGUUCCCGGGCCUGCGCUGUUGGAUUCGCGCUCCCGGCCUCACAGCCCCCU